CCUACGGGCGGCAGCAGUGGGGAAUAUUGGGCAAUGGGCGCAAGCCUGACGCAGCAACGCCGCGUGAAGGAAGAAGGCUUUCGGGUUGUAAACUUCUUUUCUGAGGGACGAAGAAAGUGACGGUACCUCAGGAAUAAGUCACGGCUAACUACGUGCCAGCAGCCGCGGUAAUACGUAGGUGGCAAGCGUUAUCCGGAUUUAUUGGGUGUAAAGGGCGUGUAGGCGGGAAAGCAAGUCAGAUGUGAAAACUCAGGGCUCAACCUUGAGCCUGCAUUGGAAACUGUUUGUCUUGAGUGCUGGAGAGGCAAUUGGAAUUCCGUGUGUAGCGGUGAAAUGCGUAGAUAUACGGAGGAACACCAGUGGCGAAGGCGGAUUGCUGGACAGUAACUGACGCUGAGGCGCGAAAGCGUGGGGAGCAAACAGGAUUAGAUACCCGGGUAGUC
rnacentral:rRNA from 1 species